rnacentral:rRNA from 1 species
UGGCGGCGUGCCUACACAUGCAAGUCGAGCGGUGCAGUUUGAAGCUUCGAUGGAAAGCUGCAUAGCGGCGGACGGGUGAGGAAAACGUAGGAACGUGCCCCUUGGAGUUGGAUAGCCACGGGAAACUGUGGGUAAACCGACAUAGACUCGAGAGAGUAAAGGCCGAAAGGCGCCAAGGGAGCGGCCUGCGGCCCAUCAGGUAGUUGGUAGUGUAAAGGACUACCAAGCCGACGACGGGUAGCCGGUCUGAGAGGAUGGCCGGCCACAAGGGCACUGAGAGACGGGCCCUACUCCUACGGGAGGCAGCAGUGGGGGAUUUUGGACAAUGGGCGAAAGCCUGAUCCAGCGACGCCGCGUGGAGGACGAAGCCCUUCGGGGUGUAAACUCCUUUUCUCAGGGAAAAAGGAUGAUGGUACCUGAGGAAUAAGCCCCGGCUAACUACGUGCCAGCAGCCGCGGUAAUACAUAAGGGGCGAGCGUUACCCGGAAUUACUGGGCGUAAAGGGUGCGUAGGCGGCCUUGCAAGUCAGGUGUAAAAAGCCCUGGCUCAACUAGGGAGAUGCGCUGGAAACUGUAAGGCUUGUGUGCAGCAGAGGCAGAUGGAAAUGCUGGGUGUAGGGGUGGUGCGUAGGCGGCCUUGCAAGUCCGGUGUUAAAAGCCCUGGCUCAACUAGGGAGAGAGGCACGAAAGCUAGGGGAGCGAACCGGAUUAGAUACCCGGGUAGUCCUAGCCGUAAACGAUGCUCACUUGGUGUGGGGGCAUAGAGCCUCUGUGCUGAAGCGAACGCGUUAAGUGAGCCGCCUGGGGAGUAUGCCCGCAAGGGUGAAACUCAAAGGAAUUGACGGGGGCCCGCACAAGCAGUGGAGCGUGUGGUUUAAUUGGAAGCUAAGCCAAGAACCUUACCAGGGUUUGACAUGCUGGUGGUACGGACUCAAAAGAGGAAGGACCUUAUCGAAAGAUGAGGAGCCAGCACAGGUGGUGCACGGUCGUCGUCAGCUCGUGCCGUGAGGUGUUGGGUUAAGUCCCGCAACGAGCGCAACCCCUACUCUUAGUUACCAGCACGAAAGGUGGGGACUCUAAGAGGACCGCCGGCGACGAGCCGGAGGAAGGAGGGGAUGACGUCAGAUACUCGUGCCCCUUAUGCUCUGGGCGACACACGCGCUACAAUGGUAUGGACAACGGGAAGCCAGGUAGCGAUACUGAGCAAAACCCUAAAACCAUACCGCAGUUCAGAUUGUGGGCUGAAACCCGCCCACAUGAAGCUGGAAUGCUAGUAAUCGCGGAUCAGCCACGCCGCG